ACAUAGACUGUGUAGAAGCCCUCGUGGCACUGCUUCUAGACAGCCUCCGAGGCA
rnacentral:miRNA from 1 species